rnacentral:rRNA from 1 species
UACGAAGGGGGCUAGCGUUGUUCGGAAUUACUGGGCGUAAAGCGCGCGCAGGCGGCUAUCCAAGUCAGUGGUGAAAGCCCGGAGCUUAACUCCGGAACUGCCAUUGAAACUGUUUAGCUUGAGGACGAGAGAGGUGAGUGGAAUUCCCAGUGUAGAGGUGAAAUUCGUAGAUAUUCGCAAGAACACCAGUGGCGAAGGCGGCUCACUGGCCCGGUACUGACGCUGAGGUGCGAAAGCGUGGGGAGCAAACAGGG